rnacentral:rRNA from 1 species
GACAGAGGGUGCAAACGUUGUUCGGAAUUACUGGGCGUAAAGCGCGUGUAGGCUGCUUCGAAAGUCAGGUGUGAAAGCCCUGGGCUCAACCCAGGAAGUGCACUUGAAACUUCGAGGCUUGAGUCCCGGAGAGGAUCGCGGAAUUCCCGGUGUAGCGGUGAAAUGCGCAGAUAUCAGGAAGAACACCCGUGGCUAAGGCGGCUCUCUAGUACGGUACUGACGCUGAGACGCGAAAGCGUGGGGAGCGAACAGG